rnacentral:lncRNA from 1 species
CUCAAAUCAAGUGUUCUUUUUAUCGUCUCUCUCAUUUGCAGUAUUUUUUACUAAAAUAAGUUUAUAAUUUCGCACAUGCAUGCAUUGUUUGUUUAAGGUAAAAUUCAAAAUCUAAAAUACAGUAAAACUAAACCUAUUUAGUAUUUAUAUCGGAUUCAGUUUAGUUUAGAUAAAAUUUCCGGAUCCAUUCAACCAAUUCAGCAUUUCUGCCUACCUCUGGUUAAAAUGAUUAAUUAAGUUUAAGAAGUUUUGUAAUAAAUGUUCCAAUAAUAGAUACCAAUUGAUGAAAACAAUUAAAUAUCAAAACAUAAAUAUCAUAGAGUAAUAGUAUCGAACAAAGUACAUAAAUAUCAAUGUUAUAGAAUUAUACAAUAUAUAAUUAAGAUCAAAUUAUAACUGUUAUCAUCUCAACUCUAGUAUUACAUGUCAUACCUAUCGAAGACAUAAAGUCCUACAUUCGCAUCUGUCAUUUUUUACUUUGAAUCUAUAAAAUUACCAAGGUUAAACCAAGAGAUAUGUCAUCAGUGUUAUAAAAAUCGGUUUAUACAGCAUUUAGGUGUCCGUCUAGUCGACAAAAAAAUGGUAUACUCGCUUAAAAUACCGGUUUAAGCGUCCACCUAAUCAAUAAUCUCAUAUAAAACCUUUAAUUACCGCUUAUCAAUUUCUUGAACAAUGUAUAUCACUGACUCAUACACAGAGACAGACCCAUGAGUAAGUUUUGAGGGGGUCAUAAACAAAUUUUUACCAGCUCAGCUACUGACUAUUUCUCAAUUUCUUAUACAAAACAACAUUUUAUCAUAUUUUUGUAGUGUCAAGUGACCCACACUCCUCUCAAGUGACCUGUUCGGUUUACCAAACCCGGUGUGGGUUCUCAUUUUACCAAAACCCAUCAUGAUGUAACAAUCUUUACCCGAUUCUCAGUAGCACUUCUUUUGUGUUGCUCAGAAUUCUGUUAUGCGAUGCCAAGUUACUCAAAUGGAUCCAUGUGAUUCUAAAAGAUAAGACUAAUCUAUAGCAUACAAUACAAUGCAAGCUAAAUAGGGAAUCAGCAGAGGGUUUAUUUCCUUCUACAUACAUAAGGCUGCAUCUCCAUCCGUCCACCAACAAUAACCAAACCAGUAUCAACAUGCUUCAAUGUGUAAGUGCUUAUUGAAAUUGCGAUAUUUCCAUGGUGUGCAUUAUCCUCCUGUUCUUCCAUCAACAUGAGUAAGUAGAAGGACUAAGUCACAAUAAUUGAGAAGAGGAUAACAGAAACCUGCAGAUUCAUUUCCUAGAGUUUUUUUUUAAGUUGUGAUCAAAGCAAAGCAGAGACCAACGAGGACAACAUCAAGAAGCAAUUAAGUAACCUUGAUUUUUUGCAUCGUUUCGUAGUAACGAGGACCUCCGUCCCAUUGCCGUUAAGGUCAGCUAUAAUAGGUAGUGGGAGACGAUAGACUUCGUGUUUGAUUGGGUAAUCAUCGUACAAAUGGAACC